rnacentral:misc_RNA from 1 species
CUCUCUCUCUCUCUCUCUCGCAAACUUUUAUUUUGUUUUGUAUAUUAAUAACUGGCACAUUCACCUGGAUUGUGACAUUGGUAUUCUUUUGAUGAUUGGCUGCUCUGAGAUAAUUCAUUUUUUGCUGAUUGGAUUGUUUUCUAAAGUAAUCUAUUUCCUCAUCCUCUCCUUUUAGAUUUCAUCAUCAAAGAGUGCCAUUGGUAAUUCUUGUUUGUGGAACUGCAUGU